rnacentral:rRNA from 1 species
UCUUAAUAUUAAUGCAAAUUAAUCUUUUAACUUAUAUUAAAAUAGAAGUAUUAAUUUGUUAAUAUUGUGUUGGGGCGACAAAAAUAUACAUUAUAUACCUGUUUUAACUUUAAUACAAUUAUUUUUGACCUUAAAGAUCCUUACUAAAGAUUAAAAGAUCAAGUU